rnacentral:rRNA from 1 species
AGAGUUCGAUCCUGGCUCAGGAUGAACGCUGGCGGCGCGCCUAACACAUGCAAGUCGAACGGCACCUAUCUUCGGAUAGAAGCGAGUGGCGAACGGCUGAGUAACACGUGGAGAACCUGCCCCCUCCCCCGGGAUAGCCGCCCGAAAGGACGGGUAAUACCGGAUACCCCGGGGUGCCGCAUGGCACCCCGGCUAAAGCCCCGACGGGAGGGGAUGGCUCCGCGGCCCAUCAGGUAGACGGCGGGGUGACGGCCCACCGUGCCGACAACGGGUAGCCGGGUUGAGAGACCGACCGGCCAGAUUGGGACUGAGACACGGCCCAGACUCCUACGGGAGGCAGCAGUGGGGAAUCUUGCGCAAUGGGGGGAACCCUGACGCAGCGACGCCGCGUGCGGGACGGAGGCCUUCGGGUCGUAAACCGCUUUCAGCAGGGAAGAGUCAAGACUGUACCUGCAGAAGAAGCCCCGGCUAACUACGUGCCAGCAGCCGCGGUAAUACGUAGGGGGCGAGCGUUAUCCGGAUUCAUUGGGCGUAAAGCGCGCGUAGGCGGCCCGGCAGGCCGGGGGUCGAAGCGGGGGGCUCAACCCCCCGAAGCCCCCGGAACCUCCGCGGCUUGGGUCCGGUAGGGGAGGGUGGAACACCCGGUGUAGCGGUGGAAUGCGCAGAUAUCGGGUGGAACACCGGUGGCGAAGGCGGCCCUCUGGGCCGAGACCGACGCUGAGGCGCGAAAGCUGGGGGAGCGAACAGGAUUAGAUACCCUGGUAGUCCCGGCCGUAAACGAUGGGCGCUAGGCUGUCUCUUAUACACAUCUGAC